rnacentral:tRNA from 1 species
GGUUUUUUAGUUUAAUUUAAAAUAUAGAUUUUGUAAAUCUAUGAUGGUUUAUAUCAUUAACCU